rnacentral:tRNA from 1 species
UGGGUUAUAGUUCAGUGGUAGAGUGUAUGCUUGGCAUGCACAAGGUCCUGGGUUCAAUCCCCAGUACCUCCA